ensembl:lncRNA
UCCAUCAGGCAGCUUUCCAGUCACUCCUCCCCAAGCCUGUAGGGUUGCCUGUGGUUGUUGUGACCAAAAUGCAGGUCCCAACACUUGGCCCUGUUGAAAGUCAUACGGUUUACCUUGGCCCAUCGAUCUGGUCUAUCCAGGUCCCUCAGUAGUGCCUUUCUCCACUCCGGCAGAUCAACAGUCCCUCCCAACUUCGUGUCAUUUACAAACUUAAUGAGGGUGCACUUAAUCCCUUCAUCAAGAUCAUCAAUAAAGAUGUUAAAUAGAAGCGGCCCCAGUACUGAGCCCUGGGGGACUCCGCUCGUGACCAGCCACCCACUGGAUUUAACUCCAUUGACCACAGCUCUUUGGGCCCAGCCACCCAGCCGGUGUUUCACCCAGCGGAGCGUACACCCAUCCAAACCAUGGGCAGCCAGCUACUCCAUGAGGAUGUUGGGAGGGACAGUGUCAAAGGCCUUACUGAAGUCCAGGUAGACCACAUUGACAGCCUUACCUCCAUCCACUAAGCGGAUCACCUUGUCAUAGAGUGAAAUCAGGUUUGUCAAACAGGAUCUACCAUUUGUAAACCCAUGCUGACUGGGCCUGAUCCCCUGGUAGACCUUUAACUGGUCCAUGAUGGUUCCCGAGAUUAUCUGUUCCAGAACCUUCCCCAGCUCCGAGGUGAAACUGAUAGGUCUGUAGCUACCAGGAUCAUCUUUCUGGCCCUUUUUGAAGAUGGGCGUCACAUUUGCCACUCUCCAGUCCUCUGUUGACAUCCCCAGUUAGCCAGGACUGCUGAAGGAUGAUGGAGUGUGGCUUGGCAACCACAUCUACCAACUCCCUCAGCACUCUAGGGUGCAAUCCAUCUGGCCUCAUGGACUUGUGAUCAUCCAGCUUUUGGAGCAGGUCCAAAGCCAUCUCAUCGUGGAUCAUACAGGGCCUAUUGUGUUCCCCAUCCCUAUCUACCAGCGCAGGGGGCUGUGUUCCCAGAUAGUAACAAGUCUUACUAUUAAAGACUGAGUUAAAGU